rnacentral:rRNA from 1 species
CCUAACACAUGCRAGUCGAACGAAGKAGCAAUACUUAGUGGCAGACGGGUGAGUAACAUGUAGGUAUCUGCCCUUUGGCCUGGAAUAACACGAGGAAACUUGUGCUAAUACCGGAUAAGUCUUUACGGAGAAAGCUUUAUGCACCAUUGGAUGAGCCUGCACUUGAUUAGUUUGUUGGUGGGGUAAUGGCCUACCAAGACUGUGAUCAAUAGCUGAUUUGAGAGGAUGAUCAGCCACAUUGGGACUGAGACACGGCCCAAACUCCUACGGGAGGCAGCAGUGGGGAAUCUUGCACAAUGGAGGAAACUCUGAUGCAGCGAUGCCGCGUGAGUGAAGAAGGCCCUUGGGUUGUAAAGCUCUUUCGUCGGGGAAGAAAAUGACUGUACCCGAAUAAGAAGGUCCGGCUAACUUCGUGCCAGCAGCCGCGGUAAUACGAAGGGACCUAGCGUAGUUCGGAAUUACUGGGCUUAAAGAGUUCGUAGGUGGUUGAAAAAGUUAGUGGUGAAAUCCCAGAGCUUAACUCUGGAACUGCCAUUAAAACUUUUCAGCUAGAGUAUGAUAGAGGAAAGCAGAAUUUCUAGUGUAGAGGUGAAAUUCGUAGAUAUUAGAAAGAAUACCAAUUGCGAAGGCAGCUUUCUGGAUCAUUACUGACACUGAGGAACGAAAGCAUGGGUAGCGAAGAGGAUUAGAUACCCUCGUAGUCCAUGCCGUAAACGAUGUGUGUUAGACGUUGGAAAUUUAUUUUCAGUGUCGCAGCGAAAGCGAUAAACACACCGCCUGGGAGUCGACCGCAAG